CAGGUGGCCCCGCUUGCUAGCGGCCGCGUGACCGUCUUUGCCCCCAUGGGAGGCGCCUCAGCUUGUGGUGGUUUUCGUGCCCAAACACGUUUCAAGCGAUUAGAUGCCUACAGGAUGGUUUCUGUAUGGCUAUCUAAAAUCUGAACCAACCCUACCUGUCCUGCCUGAUUUCCCUCUGUAGCUGUGAGGAUCCUUUCUUCACUCUGAUGGGAGCAAAAGGCAAACUGAGGGCAAAGCGGGCCCUGACACUGCACAACCCACCCCCCUUGAGGGGGGAUUCCUCAGGUACCAGUAACCGCUAAGAACGAAGCAAAGGAAGAAGGAAUGGUCGACCGAUAAAGAUCACAGUCAUGUAGAGCUUGAAACUCCGCUACAGUUUGUAACUGUCUUAAUGAUUUACAAGGAAAACACAAUCUUAAUCACAGACCUCCAGGAACCUUGGACUCAAUCUCCUGGAGCCCUAGUCACCUCCACCUCCAUAGGGUAGAAAACCCUGUAUGAUCCGUCACUCCUGACAGUCACAACGCGACUCUGCCCACGGAUCUUCUCCCAUGCCAUAAUAAAAACAUCUUUCCUCACUGUGAA